AGCGAACGCUGGCGGCAGGCUUAACACAUGCAAGUCGAGCGGGCACUUUCGGGUGUCAGCGGCGGACGGGUGAGUAACGCGUGGGAACGUGCCCUCUGGUUCGGAAUAACUCAGGGAAACUUGAGCUAAUACCGGAUACGCCCUCUUGGGGAAAGGCUUGCUGCCGGAGGAUCGGCCCGCGUCUGAUUAGCUAGUUGGUGAGGUAACGGCUCACCAAGGCGACGAUCAGUAGCUGGUCUGAGAGGAUGAGCAGCCACACUGAGACUGAGACACGGCCCAGACUCCUACGGGAGGCAGCAGUGGGGAAUAUUGGACAAUGGGCGCAAGCCUGAUCCAGCCAUGCCGCGUGAGUGAUGAAGGCCUUAGAGUUGUAAAGCUCUUUUAUCCGGGACGAUAAUGACGGUACCGGAGGAAUAAGCCCCGGCUAACUUCGUG
rnacentral:rRNA from 1 species